AUUGAACGCUGGCGGCAUGCCUUACACAUGCAAGUCGAACGGCAGCACGGGGGCGAACCCUCGUGGCGAGUGGCGAACGGGUGAGUAAUACAUCGGAACGUAUCCUGUAGCGGGGGAGUAACCUCUCGAAAGAGAGGCUAAUACCGCAUACGACCUACGGGUGGAAAGAGGGGGAGUCGCAAGACCUCUCACUAUUGGAGCGGCCGAUGUCGGAUUAGCUAGUUGGCGGGGAACGGCCCACCAAGGCGACGACGGGUAGCUGGUCUGAGAGGAU
rnacentral:rRNA from 1 species